rnacentral:rRNA from 1 species
UAGGGAAUCUUCCGCAAUGGACGCAAGUCUGACGGAGCAACGCCGCGUGAGUGAAGAAGGAUUUCGGUUCGUAAAACUCUGUUGUUAGAGAAGAACAGCGCAUAGAGUAACUGUUAUGCGUGUGACGGUAUCUAACCAGAAAGCCACGGCUAACUACGUGCCAGCAGCCGCGGUAAUACGUAGGUGGCAAGCGUUGUCCGGAUUUAUUGGGCGUAAAGCGAGCGCAGGCGGUCAAGUAAGUCUGAUGUGAAAGCCCCCGGCUCAACCGGGGAGGGUCAUUGGAAACUGGUUGACUUGAGUGCAGAAGAGGAGAGUGGAAUUCCAUGUGUAGCGGUGAAAUGCGUAGAUAUAUGGAGGAACACCAGUGGCGAAGGCGACUCUCUGGUCUGUAACUGACGCUGAGGCUCGAAAGCGUGGGUAGCAAACAGG